CCGGGCAGUGUGUGUGGCCCUCGUGCAGGGGGCGGGAGCCGGCGGGAGAAUCGGGAAGGCGGGAAGCGGAGCCCCGAAGACGCUGAGGAGCGCAGCUUCGGAAAGCUCGCCCUUCCCGCGGAGCCCUGAAGGAGGCCACAGGCGCCGCGCCGCAUUCGGCGCCAGGCAAGCGCCGCCCUGGUGACCGCGACCAGCGCAGUGUCCUGGCUUCCCGAGGGUCUUGCUAAGGUGCUGAGUCUGGCCCAGAACCUGCGAUCCUCCUGCCUCAGCCUCCUGAGUAGACGGGAUGACAGGCACGUGCCACCACACCUGGAAAAAGCCCCGUGUCCCUGUGUCCAGAUGGGCGUGGCGUUCCCAGGGCGUGUGUCCUUACCCGCUGCUGCUGAAUCUGUCACCCUCCCCAUUUUUGUUGAAGAGGAAACCGAGAUCUGAAGAGGUCCAGCCACUGAACCCGAACACAGCUCCCCUGGGAGUGGCUCUGGGCCGGCUCCACCUGCACAGCAGGGCUUGGGCCCUGUGGGUGGCCAGCUGACACUGGCCAGGAGGCCGGCCGACUGUGGGAAGAGACCACCUAGAACUCAGGUGGCCAGCACACUCGUCCAAGUGGAGACUCCAGCCACUCUAGAAUGACAUGACUCAGUUCAACAGAACCAGACAGCUGACGUGCGUCUGGAACCCCAUGCAAGUGAUUAAUCUGUCAAGUGGAUUAAUCCACUGAUAAGCCAUCUUGAUCCAACGACUCCCCAAACCCCACCUCUGGAUGUUGCUGCACUGGGAUCCAGGUCUUCAGCACGCCAGCUCUUGGUGGACAUCGUCCAUCCAAACCGGAACGUAACCUGCUAACUUCACUCUUCUGCUCUCGGACUUGCUCAAGGUCAAGGUCAUCCAGCGGGGUGGUUGUGUCUCCACGGUUCUCUCCCAUCCUCCAUCUUCUGGCGCUCAGCACUAGGAAAGCAACUUCCUGAGAAAUGUGCGCCAGGUCACCUUGUGUCCUCCCGUAUCUGAAAACAGAUUCAUUUUACCUUUCAAACGUUGACUGUUCCAGAUGCUAGUUUGGAAAUUAUUGUCCCUCAGGAGUUUGGAAGCAGUGCUCAGUUUUCUUCUAGCGCCCAGAGUUACGGAUGAGGCACCUGAGGCCAAGCUGACUCUUGCACCUACCGAUUUGGUAAGUUUAUAGGAUGUUUCCACUCUUAUAUUUUGAAUUGUUUUCUUUGGUACCGGGAAUUGAACACAGGGCGCUUGACCACUGAGCCGCAUCCCCAGCUCCCCCUUUAUUUCUGUAUUUUUAUUUAAAGAUGAGAUCUUGCUGAGUUGCUUAGGGCCUCGCUAAAUUGCUGAGGCUGGCCUCAAAUCCACGAUCCUCCUGCCUCAGCCUCCUGAGCCACUGGGAUUACAGGUGUGUAUCACUGCGUGUGGCUUAAUUUUCUGCCUUUUUACCUUAUUCCAUAUUUUGAGAAAAUUUUUUCUAUGUAGACCUAGACAUAUGCACAAACACGUAGAUAUAAAUACAAAUAUAUUACGUAUAUAUUGCCUUUUCUAUUUGUAUGAAGAAUGUCAUUGGGAUUUUAAUAGGAACGGCAUUAAGUCUGUAUAACGCUUUUGGUAGUAUGGUCAUUACAACAAUUUUUAUACACAUGUAAAUAAAAUUUGACAGCACUUCAAAAUUAAUGGACAUUUUUAUGGUUUUCUUCUUUUUUUGUAUCUUCUUAUGCUUGGCUUAUUUAUUCAAUAUAUUCUUUUCUAAAAGAUCCAAGAAAUAAUUUAUCGAAUUCACAAUUUAUACUUAUUUUAUUUUUGGCACUGGGGAUCUAUCCCAGGGGCACUUUGCCAGUAACCCCAUACCUCACCCUUUUCAUUUUUUAUUCUGUGGCAGGGUCUGAGUUGCUGAGGGUCUCGCUACAUGGCUGAGGCUGGCCUCAAUGUUGCAGUCCUCCUGUCUUGGCCUCCUGGGUCAUUGGGAUUACAGAUGUGUGCCACUGCGCUCAACACAACUCACAUUUUUAAAAUC